ensembl:lncRNA
GGGCAGCCCCCAGCCCAGGACAGGGAUCUCCGGCCCCCAAACUCUUGCUACACCCUCGUCACGCGUGGGGUCCCCACCUGGCCCCAUUCCCAGGCCACCGGGGAAGAGGCUUGCACUCAGAGUCCUUAGCUUAUUCUGCCACUUUUCUGGACCACACCCCGAGAAGGGUCAGCCAACUCCAUCCCCCACCUCCUGGCCUCCCUGACUCCUAACACCAGCACCCAACCACCACCUGACCUCGCUACCCCACUCACAGCACCUUCCAGAGAACUCCUUGGGAAAGCCACUUGUUUGAAUGAGGGAGGGGAGGGGAGGGCAGAGAAUGUCAGGCAAGACAGACAAGGGGUCAGUGAUGGCUCCAUCAAGAUACUUGACUUCCCUAGAGCUUUGCUCUGGACUUAACAUCCACCAUGCCCCUGCCCGCUCUCUGAUUCUGGCCGCCCUCUCCCCUACUUCAUCUCCAUCCCCAAACUCAGUCUCUCCUGUGUCUGGGAUAGAGGGCACCCUGGCUGGCAUAAGCAUCUGUGGCCACUUUGCCUCCCCAAAUAUUUCCCAAAUCCCUUGCCACAGCCAGGCCUGUGGUGGGGGCAGGGAACGUGUUGGGUGGCCAGGCCAGGGAGCAGAGAACUAUGAUGUGGGGGAGAGGGUAUGGCAUGGAGGUCAGGAAGAGCCCAAAUAAGGGGUUUGGAGGGAGCCCAGAUGUACUCGGUUUGAAUAGGAGGGAAUGCAAUCCUAAAGAAGCAAGCACAGGGGGUGCCAGGCAGAAGGGCAGGGGAGCACUGGGGUGGCCGUGCCUUGCUGAGGAGAGUCAGGAUGGGGCCCAUGGUGGCUGGCCCAGAAGGGAUGAUGCCAGGGUACCCCCAGGGUGGGGUGGUCACAGUGAGCUGCCUGUGCCCUGGUGGGGAGGCUUGCGUGAAAGUAAGAGCCCUCAUGGGAGAAGAAGCACUUGUCCCCUAGAGGAAAAGGGGGGCUGAUUAAUCGGGGCGCUAAUGAGCAGCAGGGAGAGGAAGCACAGAGGGG